CCUACGGGGUGCAGCAGUGGGGAAUAUUGGGCAAUGGAGGAAACUCUGACCCAGCAAUGCCGCGUGAAUGAAGAAGGUCUUCGGAUUGUAAAGUUCUUUAGUCAGGGAAGAAUAAAAUGACGGUACCUGAAGAAUAAGCUCCGGCUAACUACGUGCCAGCAGCCGCGGUAAUACGUAGGGAGCAAGCGUUGUUCGGAAUGACUGGGCGUAAAGGGUGCGUAGGCGGUUAUACAAGUUAGAAGUGAAAUACCCAGGGCUUAACUCGGGUGCUGCUUCUAAAACUGUAAGACUUGAGUGCAGUAGAGGUUAGUGGAAUUACUAGUGUAGCGGUGAGAUGCGUAGAUAUCAGGAGGAACACCGGCGGCGAAGGCGGCCUGCUGGACUGAAACUGACGUUGAGGCUCGAAAGCGUGGGGAGCAAACAGGAUUAGAUACCCGAGUAGUC
rnacentral:rRNA from 1 species